AUGAGACUCAACAGGUUGAAUGGAGGUCAGGACACAGUGGUAGAGGUCGAGGUAGAACCACCUGCCGAUGAGGAACGGUCGCCAUCACCCAUGGAUGUCGUAUGCGGAAGUAUCAGGGAACAGCUAGUGAAGCAGGCUAAUAAUCAGCCGAAGGCUAUCUCUAAUAAUCAGCGGAGGAUAUCUGGCAGCCAGGCACGCCCGCACUGCGUGGAUCACACGACCCUAACCCAGUCAACACACGAAACCAGCGGUAGAUCACACAACCCCGACCUCAAGGCGUGGAGCACAGAAACCGGCGGCCGGAGGAGAGCCAGCGAUCUCGGCGACACUCGAUAUGGACGAAGCAAGCGGUGGAACCGACGGCCGGCGGCAGAGGACCUCCUCAGUGGCGACCUGCUAGGGAGCAAGAGCCGGCUUCCUGGGCGGAGCGGAUCAAAUCCAUCCGACGGCAGAGAUCCCGUGAAGAAAACGGCAGAGCGGAAACCGGGCAGGGAUGGAGACGAUCUACAAUAA
rnacentral:rRNA from 1 species